CGGUACUCAGUUCGGAUCGCAGUCUGCAACUCGACUGCGUGAAGGUGGAGUCGCUAGUAAUCGCGGAUCAGCAACGCCGCGGUGAAUGCGUUCCCGGGCCUUGUACACACCGCCCGUCAAGUCAUGAAAGUGGGCAGCACCCGAAGACGGUGGCCUAACCCUUGUGGGGGGAGCCGUCUAAGGUGAGGCUCGUGAUUGGGACUAAGUCGUAACAAGGUAUC
rnacentral:rRNA from 1 species